GACGAACGCUGGCGGCAUGCCUAAUACAUGCAAGUCGAGCGAACAGAUGAAGUGCUUGCACUUCUGACGUUAGCGGCGAACGGGUGAGUAACACGUAAGGAAUCUACCUAUAAGCGGGGGAUAACAUUCGGAAACGGGUGCUAAUACCGCAUAAUAUCUUCUUCCGCAUGGAAGAAGAUUGAAAGACGGCUCUGCUGUCACUUAUAGAUGACCUUGCGGUGCAUUAGUUAGUUGGUGGGGUAACUGCCUACCAAGACGAUGAUGCAUAGCCGGCCUGAGAGGGUUAUCGGCAACAUUGGGACUGGGACACGGCCCAAACUCCGACGGGAGGCAGCAGUAGGGAAUCUUCCGAAAUGGGCUAAAGCCUGACGGAGCAAUGCCGCGUGAGUGAAGAAGGCCUUCGGGUCGUAAAACUCUGUUAUAAGAGAAUAACAAAUUGUAGAGUAACUGCUACAGUCUUGACGGUAUCUUAUCAGAAAGCCACGGCUAACUACGUGCCAGCCGCCGCAGUAA
rnacentral:rRNA from 1 species